rnacentral:rRNA from 1 species
CUUUUGUUAGUCGUAAAACCACUGAUGAAUAAGGGGUGGGCAAGUUCUGGUGUCAGCCGCCGCGGUAAAACCAGCACCUCAAGUGGUCAGGAGGAUUAUUGGGCCUAAAGCAUCCGUAGCCUGCUCUGUAAGUUUCCGGUUAAAUCCAUUCGCUCAACUGAUGGGCUGCCGGAAAAACUGCAAAGCUAGGGAGUGGGAGAGGUAGACGGUACUCGGUAGGAAGGGGUAAAAUCCUUUGAUCUAUUGAUGACCACCUGUGGCGAAGGCGGUCUACCAGAACACGUUCGACGGUGAGGGAUGAAAGCUGGGGGAGCAAACCGGAUUAGAUACCCGGGUAGUCCCAGCUGUAAACGAUGCAGACUCGGUGAUGCUCUGGCUUGUGGCCAGUGCAGUGCCGCAGGGAAGCCGUUAAGUUUGCCGCCUGGGAAGUACGUACGCAAGUAUGAAACUUAAAGGAAUUGGCGGGGGAGCACCACAAGGGGUGAAGCCUGCGGUU